rnacentral:rRNA from 1 species
UACGUAGGGGGCGAGCGUUUGUCCGGAUUUAUUGGGCGUAAAGAGCGUGUAGGCGGUUCGGUAAGUCUGUCGUGAAAUUUCGGGGCUCAACCCCGAACUUGCAGUGGGUACGGGCAGACUAGAGUGUGGUAGGGGAGACUGGAAUUCCUGGUGUAGCGGUGAAAUGCGCAGAUAUCAGGAGGAACACCGAUGGCGAAGGCAGGUCUCUGGGCCAUAACUGACGCUGGAGAAGCGAAAGCAUGGGGAGCGAACAGG